rnacentral:rRNA from 1 species
GACAGCAGCAGCCGCGGUAAUACAGAGGGUGCGAGCGUUAAUCGGAUUUACUGGGCGUAAAGCGUGCGUAGGCGGCUUCUUAAGUCGGAUGUGAAAUCCCUGAGCUUAACUUAGGAAUUGCAUUCGAUACUGGGAAGCUAGAGUAUGGGAGAGGAUGGUAGAAUUCCAGGUGUAGCGGUGAAAUGCGUAGAGAUCUGGAGGAAUACCGAUGGCGAAGGCAGCCAUCUGGCCUAAUACUGACGCUGAGGUACGAAAGCAUGGGGAGCAAACAGGAUUAGAGACCCCAGUAGUCCCUGUCUCUUAUAC